UUAAAGGUCAAACUGUCAAAGCUUUGGGGGAUUUUCUCAUGAUGAUCGAAUACACAAUUUGCACUUUUUUUUAAGACAGUGCAUCUCCAACGGUAUGUUUUUUAUAACACACGUACAAGUGUACAACUUACACUAAUCUGAUAAAAUAUUCAUAAACUUGACUGUAGUAACCUUAACCUCGGAAACUAAAUUUCAAAAAGCCAUGAAAAUGAGAGAGGAUGCAUGUAAUUAAUAAGAUAAAGCAUAUGAAAUAAGUUUUAUAAUGAGGGAAAUAGGUUCCCUCAAUAUGGAGGUGAUAGCACUGCCAGUGGAAGCAGUAGCAAUCAUUUCUUGAUUAUUACUUAGACAAAUACUAAUAUAUACAGUAUCAUACAAGUACUACACAUCUGGGUCACGGCAAAACAGAACGUGCAAGUUCUUUCCAGUAGUAAUCUUCAUCCAACUCCAGAGAAGUCGUCGUUGAUCUGUUGUAAUGAUACAACCCGAUCCCAUGGGCAUCUUCAUGACUUUGCAUGACCCUUUGAUGCAUCAAAGUAGAGCUAUACCCCUUAUGAGGCCUUUCAACCUUCUUGUUGGAGUUGGAGUCAUUGCCCGUGAGUUGUUGGACCACUGAUCGAAACUCAGAAGCAUCGUAGGCCCUCACUAACACAGGACUCGAUAUGUAGGUUAUUUUCACUGUUUUCUUUGGAGUUUUUUGCAUGGUCCUUAAGGUAUUGGACUCCUUGUUGUGGUAGCAAUUGGGGUGAUCAUACCUGAGUUUUCCCCAUUUGAUUUGAUCAGUAGUGUGUUUUAUCUAGAAAGCUAUAAAUCAUCCAAUUUUACUUCUACACGAACGUACAUAUAUAUAUAUAUAUAUGAUAUAUGCUUG
rnacentral:lncRNA from 1 species